rnacentral:rRNA from 1 species
CGGGGGAGCAAGCGUUGUUCGGAUUUACUGGGCGUAAAGGGCGCGUAGGCGGCCAGCACAAGUCAGUUGUGAAAUCUCCGGGCUCAACUCGGAAAGGUCAACUGAUACUGUGCGGCUAGAGUGCAGAAGGGGCAACUGGAAUUCUCGGUGUAGCGGUGAAAUGCGUAGAUAUCGAGAGGAACACCUGCGGCGAAGGCGGGUUGCUGGGCUGACACUGACGCUGAUGCGCGAAAGCCAGGGGAGCGAACGGGAUUAGAUACCCCGGUAGUCCUGGCCUUAAACGAUGGAUGCUUGGUGUCUGGAGUUUUAUAGUCUCCGGGUGCCGUAGCUAACGCGUUAAGCAUCCCGCCUGGGGAGUACGGUCGCAAGACUG